UACGUAGGGUGCAAGCGUUGUCCGGAAUUAUUGGGCGUAAAGAGCUCGUAGGCGGUCUGUCGCGUCGAUCGUGAAAACUUGGGGCUUAACCCUGAGCUUGCGGUCGAUACGGGCAUGACUGGAGUUCGGCAGGGGAGACUGGAAUUCCCGGUGUAGCGGUGAAAUGCGCAGAUAUCGGGAAGAACACCCGUGGCGAAGGCGGCUCUCUGGGACGGUACUGACGCUGAGACGCGAAAGCGUGGGGAGCGAACAGG
rnacentral:rRNA from 1 species